GCCGCGCAGCCAUCGCCCCCGCCCGCGGGGCUCGGCCGGGCACAGCGCGGGGCGUGGGGCGGAGGGAGGGAGCGGGGAGGGGCCGCCAGGGGAGAGGAAGCCGGAGGGAUGGAGCUGGUGCUGUUCGCUCCCCGCUGUGUUUCCCCGGGGUCGGGUCUCUCUGCUGGGGUGUCCCUGCGCUGGGGUGACGGAGCAGGCGGGCAGGCGUGCGCUCUGCUGGGCUGCGGCACAGCCGCUCUCUCUUUCAGGCCUUUAGCAAAGCAGGAGAUGCUACCUGCACCCGGCUCUGGGUAAAUCCCUGCAUGGGCAAAGCAGUGCCCCUGCCCGUGGUACCUGCGGUGGAGGGAUUGGGGAUCUGCCUUUCAGCACGCUGCCGUGCCCACGCCAGGCCUGUCCUCUUCCUGCGGAUUGUUGGGCGUCUGUGGCUUUGCCAUCAUGGUUUUCUCUGAGAGAUGAACUUUGCAGCCUGAAUGGCUUGUAUGCCAUGAGGGUAAUAUUCAAGGUCCUUAAGCCACGGAAGCUGAAAGGAGAAUUUUAUGUCCUUCCCACCGCCCAUGAGCUACCAGUGAAAUUUUAAUUUUGUGACUGAAGGCUUGUCCUGCUUGGGCCUUGUGUUUGAUGAAGAAGGUUGCAGUAGAGUAGCAAGGGCAGGCUGAGAUGCUGAUAGGGCUGGUGGUGUGGGAAGCCCUGGUGUUGUGAUAGAACCCAGGAUAGAAUAUCCUGAUGGCUGCUGAAGGUUGUUCUGUCCUGCUCUGGCUGCCCUUGCCGUGCCCAGUUUGUAGGAUCAGCGGAUAACUCGGGCUGAAGAGAUGUCAGCAUCCCUGAGUCCAGCCUCCUGCUCAUCCCAGAGACAGCUUCAGGAUCAGAUCAGCUCAGGCAACUUGGACCCAUCUGGAGGUCAUUCACUGUAAGAGGCCUAUGGACACUAAAGAGAGCUUAACUCAGAAGAGCCAGUGGCUACAAGGAAGCUCCUGUUGAGCCUCUCUGCAGCAUGUCCUGCACAAAUGGAACCGUGGGGAAACUGAGAUGAUAAAUCUGCUUCUCUUGAGCAUGCACAAAGCUGUGUCCUCCAAGCUCUGGAAAGGUCCAGACUCUUAACAGAUUUCUUGGGAUUUAAAAAAAGCUUAUUCAAAAGCUUUCAGAAUCUCAAGUCUCUGCUUGAACGUCUAGAACCCAUGGAAGAAAGCUAGCCAGUUGGGGGGGUUUAAUGUACUCCAAACAAGAUAUAGGUGUUUAAUAUAGAUUAAUGUUUUUAUCUAUAAUUAUUAAUAAAAAUACCUUCAUCUUGAUUUGGUGUAUGCUGUGAAACUUUUUAGUUGAAAUGGUUCAAGGUUAGGGCAAAAUUGCAAGAAAAUAAAACUAGGUUCUUGUAAUGAGAGAUGCAUGGUGACCUUCAGAAUGUUCAUUAUCAGCUUCCCUUGCCAAUCUAGUGAUGCAUAUGCACAAAUAAAUAAUUGUCUAUGAAUUGGACAGUAGACUGAUUGUCAUGAAGGUUUUCUUCAUUAAAGCUGUAUUGCAGUUUGAUUUUGUACAUCA